AAUUCGAAGCAACGCGAACGAACCUUACCACCUUUGACAUCCUGAUCGCGGUCUUUAGAGAUAGAGACCUUCAGUUCGGCUGGAUCAGUGACCAGGUGCUGCAUGGCUGUCGUCAGCUCGUGUCGUGAGAUGUUGGGUUAAGUCCCGCAACGAGCGCAACCCUUAUCGUCUGUUGCCAUCAGGUUAUGCUGGGCACUCUGACGAGACUGCCGGUGACAAGCCGGAGGAAGGCGGGGACGACGUCAAGUCAUCAUGGCCCUUACAGUGGGGCUCAAACGUGCUACAAUGGUGGUGACAGUGGGCAGCGAGGCAGCGAUGCCAAGCAAAUCCCUAAAAGCCAUCUCAGUUCAGAUUGCACUCUGCAACUCGAGUGCAUGAAGUUGGAAUCGCUAGUAAUCGUGGAUCAGCAUGCCACGGUGAAUACGUUCCCGGGUCUU
rnacentral:rRNA from 1 species